CUACGGGGGGCUGCAGUGAGGAAUAUUGCACAAUGGGGGGAACCCUGAUGCAGCAACGCCGCGUGGAGGAUGACGCAUUUCGGUGUGUAAACUCCUUUUAUAUGUCAAGAAAAUGACGGUAGCAUAUGAAUAAGCACCGGCUAACUCCGUGCCAGCAGCCGCGGUAAUACGGAGGGUGCAAGCGUUACUCGGAAUCACUGGGCGUAAAGGACGCGUAGGCGGGUUGGAAAGUCAGGUGUGAAAUCCUACAGCUUAACUGUAGAACUGCACUUGAAACUUCUAAUCUAGAGUAUGGGAGGGGGAAAUGGAAUUAGUGGUGUAGGGGUAAAAUCCGUAGAUAUUACUAGGAAUACCUAAAGCGAAGGCGAUCUCCUGGAACAUUACUGACGCUAAGGCGUGAAAGCGUGGGGAGCAAACAGGAUUAGAUACCCCGGUAGUC
rnacentral:rRNA from 1 species